CAGCCGCGGUAAUUCCAGCUCCAAUAGCGUAUAUUAAAGUUGUUGCAGUUAAAAAGCUCGUAGUUGAAUUUCGGGAUUGACGUGAUGGUCGUGCCUUAAGGGGUAUGAACUGUCGCAGUUGAUUUCUCACCUUCUGGAGAAGCAUGAUGUCCUUAAUUGGGUGUCAUGUGGAACCAGGACCUUUACCUUGAAAAAAUUAGAGUGUUUAAAGCAGGCAUUUUGCUCGAAUACAUUAGCAUGGAAUAAUAGAAUAGGACGGGCAUGGUUCUAUUUUGUGGUUUCUAGGAUCACCGUAAUGAUUAAUAGGGAUAGUUGGGGGGCAUUAGUAUUCAAUUGUCAGAGGUGAAAUUCUUGGAUUUAUUGAAGACUAACUACUGCGAAAGCAUUUGCCAAGGAUGUUUUCAUUAAUCAAGAACGAAAGUUAGGGAUCGAAGACGAUCAGAUACCGUCGUAGUCUUAACCAUAAACUAUGCCGACUAGGGAUCGGAUGAUGUUAAUUUUAUAAUGACUCAUUUGGCACCUUACGGGAAAC
rnacentral:rRNA from 1 species